AACAGUUUUAUGCAACAUGCAAAUAUUUUUUAUUAUUUUAUUCUGUUCCUCUCUUUAAUGUAGCGUGUGUAUGAUCCGAAUGAAACAGAGGUCAACAAGAGCGUACUGGAGGAACUUGGUCUAACAUAGACAUACUUGGACUACCUUGAACUUAUCAUCAUCAACCCCAGUCUAUUUUCAGUGAUAUAUCUUGGGGGCCUUGCUGCCCCCACCCCAAUACCCCACUCCCCUGCUCACCACCCCCUGCAAAACUCAUGCCAUUACCAAUGAAGUAACAUGAUUCAUUGUUAUCUUAACCUUAUCAUGGAUGUUUUUGUUUUGUUUUUUCAUACACCCCUGAAAUGAUAAUGUGCUACCUAUAAUGCAAUCAAACAAAAAUUAUUUGUCUGUUGCUGAAAAAACCUGUUUUGUCAAAUUUCUGACCUAACCUAAAAACAAAGACAAUAUUUUGUCUGCAUCCAAUGUAAGAUAUCACUGUGAUGGACAAUUCUAUGUUCCACAUAAGCAAAUAGAAAAUUAAUAACAAAUAGCAUUUCCCCUCAAAUGAAUACAUUUUAUUGAUUGAUGUUGAUCAGAAAUAUUCAACUGUUCUGGGGCCCUUUGCAGAAAGAGAUGGGAUCAGACGCAACUCCAGAAAUCAAACACAGCUUAAUUUUCAACCAAUGAAGCGUGCAUAUUGGGAAUUGCGAUUGAUAUGUUGAGUUGCGUUUGAUUUUUUUUUUAAACAAAUCUUUUUGCAACAGGCCCCUGGAAGUCUCUUGGACCGUGCUACCACUCAGUCUGUAAUGGUUUCAACUUUCAUGUUUGUUUCUAUGGUUCAACAUGCUUUAUAAUGGGAGUAAAUUCAUUGUGAUCUGUCAGUGUGAACUGGAAUAUUGUGUGGAAAAAUGAUUUUAUUGUGAUCUGUCUGUGUGAACUGAAUUAUUUUGUGAUAAAAGUUUUAAAAAAAAAUCAUGACCAAACACCAAUAUUCUUCCUCCACUGUCUUGCUUCCUUAAUCAAAACGUUCUUUUGGCCACGUUGCCCUCUUUAUUCUUGCCUUCUUGGGAAAUAAUCCUAGAUAGUUAAGGCCACCGCACACCUUAUGAUUGGUCUGUGACCUGAUUUUGGUAUAAAACAUCUUGAAAUUUGAUGUGAAUAUUGAGACAUGGAACAUCAUACUGUGCAAAAUUUGAAAUCAUCAAAAGAAUGCUAAUGUUCAAAUCAAUGACUUUGCUACCCUCCUUAUUAGAAUUAAAGCAAAUUCAAUUAGUAAUCAGAGAAGUGGGAGUUACAAUGAGCUACGAUUUGAAAUCAAUUUUGCUUUUACUCCAAAAUAAAAGUAAUUAUCCAUAACUUCAGUAUUAAUAUUCCUCCAGUUAAUUAGAACCUCAAAUAAAAGGAUUCUAUUCAUUCAUAUUUUCAUAUAUUAGCAAAAUGCAAUUUGUUCAAAACUUAGAUUGUAGACUUGUCGUAAGGUGUGGGCUGGGCUUAAUGAUCAAAAUCUAUGUAGCCAUGUUCACACAACACUUGUUACGUGUAGCUCUGAAAUAUGAUUUAUCUUGAGCAAUGUUUACAUGCGAUCUAAAUAGGCUUGUUCACACUGCACAUCCCUUGGCCUAUUUCUUGUGUAUGGGAUUCUGUAACUGAAAUAAUCAUGGUGACCCCCCCCCCCACACACACACAAACUGAAAAACAAAGGAAAUUGCUUGAUUAUGCUGAAACGUCAAUUAAUAUUGACAUGAAAAUAGGUGAAGAUGUUCUUUUAUUGUUAAUUUAUGAUAAUAAUUCCAACCUUCUAAUCUUAGAAAAGGCUGAAUUUGUGUUCCAGAGAUAAUCAUUUCAAAUAAAUAUUUAAAAAAGAGAUGUUGCUUUAUUUAAAUGUUGUAUUGUAAUGUUCUGGUCACUUUGUCAUUUUCUUUAAUCAAGGAUCAAAUAAUAUCAUGUUAAGUCUAUAUGUUUGUAGAACCUUAUAUGUUGUGUUUUCAUUUACACAUCUGUAAACUGUUCUGACCUGACCAAAAUAUUUUCAGCACAGAAUUGAAUAUUAUAGUGAUCAGUAGUUUUGUACCAUUUCUUGUACUUGUAUGUUUGUGAAAAUUUUAUUCUGACUUGAAGUCACAAGAUGUAAUUUAAAACCACAUGUAGCCUAGUUCACAUAUUCACAAUUUGUGUAUUCUGAUUAUUAUUCUUAUCAGAUUUCAUCGUCCAUAACUGAAAAAUAUGACAUUCUUGAAUUGAACUUGAGGAGCCUUUUCUUAAAUUAAGGAUUUUGGUUAAGAGGUAAUUUUGAUUCAUGUACUAUUAUUAUUGCUUCUCUAUCUUCUGCCAUGUUUUAUUUUCUCUCUCACAAACACAUACAAUACACACCCAUUGUCUCUUUCUGUCUUAAUAUGUCUUUAUAGGCCUAUAUUUCUAUCUUUUUCCCCAACUUCUCACCAUUUUUCGUAAUUUUGAUAAUCAACUGCCAGUUUGCUGUAAGCAACAAGGAAACCUACUAACAAUCUUACAUAUAAAUGAAAUAUGAAAUGGAUUAGUAAAAAAAAAAUGUUUGGUAGAAUACAAAUAUGACAAGAUUUUUUCCUAUAUCCAGAUCACUAUAACUAUUAUGUGGCAUACUUGUCAAAUAUUGUAAUGUUAGAAUAAAAAAUCUAAAAAUUGAA